AGGGAUGUAGCUCAGUAGUGAAGCAUCUGUUUUCCAUGCAGAAGGUCCCAGGUCCAAACCCCAAUGGCAUCUCUA